AGUCAUGGUUGCUGUGGCCCAAGUCAAGCUGAAGAGAGUAGAAACACGUACAGUUCUGUUGGUAGUUGUGUCCCAAGAAGCCAUGGAGUGGAUUCUGUACUUCAGGUUCGCUGGCUCAGAACUUGGAAGCGAACAAGUGCCAUGGCGAACUGCUUUGAGCUUGAUGAAGUGCAUAUGAAGGCAAAGGUUGCUGGAUGUUACAUACUCCCUUCGUUCCAAAAUAGAUGACCCAAUUUUGUACUAAUGCUUUACUUUCAAAUUCUCUGAAUUCUUUCACGUAACAUUUCUUGCUUAUAGGUUCUAUCUUGUUUUAAGUUGCCUGGUGGUGUAUGAGCAAGGCUGGAGAUAUAUAGGCUUAUAGUCCAACAGUCAGAGGUUGAUUUGCUAUUCCUCGGUCUAUGUAAAUGUAUAAAUCGAUGAUGAUGUACAAACAAAUGAUAUUUUGUUU